CAAACCGGGAGAUAGCUGGUUCUCCCCGAAAGCUAUUUAGGUAGCGCCUCGUGAACUCAUCUUCGGGGGUAGAGCACUGUUUCGGCUAGGGGGUCAUCCCGACUUACCAACCCGAUGCAAACUACGAAUACCGAAGAAUGUUAUCACGGGAGACACACGGCGGGUGCUAACGUCCGUCGUGAAGAGGGAAACAACCCAGACCGCCAGCUAAGGUCCCAAAGUCAUGGUUAAGUGGGAAACGAUGUGGGAAGGCACAGACAGCCAGGAUGUUGGCUUAGAAGCAGCCAUCAUUUAAAGAAAGCGUAAUAGCUCACUGGUCGAGUCGGCCUGCGCGGAAGAUGUAACGGGGCUAAACCAUGCACCGAAGCUGCGGCAGCGAC
rnacentral:rRNA from 1 species